UUCUCCAAUUAAUUUGACGAUAUCAAAUCUUUUCUUACUCAAAAUAUAUGCCUGAAUUGGCAAAAUUUCUGGUCCCUCCAACCAGCCAAACAAGCUUUUUCAACAUAAAAAAUGAGUUCAUCCUGGGAAAAAACUCUCCCAGUAUUCGAUCAGUCGAGUGAUUAAUUCAUGAUUCCAGAUUCAACUUCUUCAAAGGUUGUCCUGAUGCUAAAACUUGCACUAUCAUUUUACGAGGUGGAGCUGAACAGUUUCUCGAAAUAUAGAAUCUAAAGGUCUCUUCACGAUGCCAUAAUGAUCGCGAGGAAAAUGAUCAAAAACAAUUCGGUCGUAGCUUGGUGGUGAUGCAACUAAAGCAAAACUUUGAGAGAUUAUUCACGGAGGUACGUUGCCGGUAAAGAACACCUGUUGAUCGUGGUGCUAUAUGCUAAAGCUUUUGGAAGUCAUUCCGAGACAAAUAACGCCGUUUUCGAUUCUACGAAUAUUUUGAAUAAAUUGAGGCAAAAACACGGCCAGGAGAUUGUUUGUACGGGGUCAAUGUUAAUAUAUAAAGAAGAUAUAUUAUAUGUUUCCGAUAAUUUUGCGAAAUGCGUCUGGGAACCGCGGCCAUUGUCAAGAAGAAUGCUCUAUACGUAUCUGUAGACGAAAUGAUGAAAAAUCUUAAAUUGCAGGAAGAGUGACAGAGGUGCUUCGAACAUGAUGGGUAGAUAGAGGUAGUAAUGGUAGACUUAUGUAAAAAAUAUUAAUUUUCAAAUUUUUUUUGUUCGUAACGUAUACUGAUCUUCAUUUAUUUACGUUUACUUGCAUCGGAUUUUUUGUCACCAACUCGUCAUCACCUAAUUUAAAUAGGUACUUUAUUUUUCCGUUGCUUACCAGAUCCCAUUUUGUAAUUGUUUUUCUAAUUUAUUUACUAAAUUUUGGAACAGUAUUAAAACUUGUAGGUACAUAACGUUUUUAUUUAUAUAUUUUUGUAACUUGAUAAAAGAAGUGGAGUUUGUUCUUCGAAAACCAAACUCAACUUCUGUAUUCGAUAUUUUGAAAAUAUUUUAAAUUUCUACAACUGAAUAUAAUACAGAUACUAAUCAGUAAUCACGAUUUAUCAAACGUUUACGUAGGUAAUUUUAUACCUAUAGGUAAAUAUUUAUUUCUCGAAGAAUUUUCUAACAAGGAGAUUAUUUAUUAUUCAUUCCAUACGAACCUUUUGACUCGCUUGACUUUGAAUUAUUAUUUUGAAAAAAUGAAUUAAUAAAAGAAAAUUAUCCAUCAAUGAUAGGUUACAAAUUCAAAAUUUGAUUUGAGUUUUAACCUGACUGUCUGAGUGUAUUGUGGCUGUUUCAUUCAGUAUCUAUUAGGUAUAUUCAUUUAUUUGUAUAUUUGUCUAGAGUUGCGAUCAUAAUUUAAUUUCGUUAUUUUACCAUUUGAAUGAACUUUUUGUUCGUAAAUUUUUCUGUAGAUAGGUAUGCCCAUUAACUUGGAUAUUAUUAUUAAAAUAGGUACUUUAAUUAUGCCUGGUGGCAUGCAUGAAGCCAUUUCGCUUUUAACGUUGUUUAUUAGGUAGAUAUUCUAAUUUAACGUACGUUUAAUACUUUGAUAUCAAAGUAUUAAUACAUGUAGGUGCCUAAGUCUUAUAGUCAUUAAUUUUAUAAA